rnacentral:rRNA from 1 species
GACGAACGCUGGCGGCGUGCUUAACACAUGCAAGUCGAACGAAGUGGCGAACGGGUGAGUAACGCGUAAUCAACCUGCCCUUCAGGGGGGGACAACAGUUGGAAACGACUGCUAAUACCGCAUACUGAAGGAGGGGAUUGCGUCUGAUUAGCUAGUUGGAGGGGUAACGGCCCACCAAGGCGAUGAUCAGUAGCGGGUCUGAGAGGAUGAGCGGCCACAUUGGGACCGAGACACGGCCCAGACUCCUGCGGGAGGGAGCGGUGGGGAAUCAUCCGAAAUGGACGAAUGUCUGACGGACCAACACCGCGGUAAUAC